GUCAUUGCACCUGAUGCAGCUCAUCGAGAUUUCCAGGCGGUAAGGAUUUGUUGAUCUGUCGAUCAAUGUCUAUAGACUAUAAGCUACUUUGGCAAAGUUUCGUAACAAUAUUUAACCAGCGAAGAGGUUUUUUAGAAAAAAAAAGUAAAUGUUAUAGGCAAGAGUAAGAUAACGAGAGAUGCACAAGGCAGAACGAUUUACCAAUGCUUAUUAGUAUUGCAAUGGUAGACUCUGCAGCUCUGGCUGCAAUGUCCUAGAUUUAGGAAUAUUACAGCUUUUUUAUACUUUCAAGUAAAUCAAUAUAUUAAUAGGAAAGACAAAAUUAAGCUUGUCAAUUAAUAUAGAAAAGACUUGCAAACAUUGUAUACAGAAUAUCAUAAAUUAUUGAAUGAUAAUGAGCAUAAGGGUUAUAGAAUUUGUUAAUAUAUACUCGAACGUUAUUGACCGGUUAACGUCUAAUAUAGACUUGACAAACAGAUAAGGAUUGUGCACCCAUUCGAAAUAGGUGGCGCAGUUAAGGAAAAAAAAGGGGGGGGGAGGUUAAUUUUAAAAGAUUCCUCACAACGUUCGUUACAUUCGGUAAACAAGCCCGCUUCAGUUUAGAGGAUAGUUGCGAUUAUAUAACUUAGACAUCAUGCAAAAACAGCAUUUAAGGCCAGUGGAUCCAACCUUACAACCUCUCUCAGUAACUAUGCCCUUAAAUCCGAUAACUGGAGGUCCUUCGUUGGGAAAAAGAGCGUCGAGGGCGGCCGACAUGCUGACGCUAAACGAGGAAGAUAAUAAGCCUAAGGGAGCUGUUAGUCAGUUUUUCUCCAAUCAUGCAAAAACUUUGAUGACGAUCGCUAUGAUUUUUGGUACAAUAGCAGUUAUAGUUUGUAUAGUUAUGAUUCACAAGUCGCAAUACGAAAAGGAGAUAGCUAUAGAGGGACGAGGUAAGUCAUAUUAUUAUAAAAUAAAGGGGUAAUUUUAAAUAAAUGCGGCCACAUAACGACGACCGCCAGAAUGCUUCGACGUGGCGGUAAUCGGAGGCGGUUUAGGUGGUGUUUACACCGCUUACAAACUGCGCGGGAGCAAAGGAACAAAAAUUGGUCUUUUUGAGGCGUCCGAUCGAUUCGGUGGACGAAUACGUUCCGUGAGGGCGAACUCGUCCACCUGGUUCGAGUUUGGCGCCUCUCACUUUGAUCCGACACAGCAAGAACGUCUGAUGAAACUGAUCCGUGCUCUAAACCUCACCGAGGAGCUCUCCACGUUCCUACCGAACCCAGACUCAUGCAGUUAUUAUUUGCAAAGCCAACGCCACCGUUGUAAAGAUGUUCGAUUAGGGACUGUCAGCCUGCAACCGGAAACUAUCCUUCGGCGCUUGUCUACUUGGACUGUCAAUAGCACGGAUCGAAAGAGAAGCAAAUUCUCAAGCGUACCUCUUUUUAAAACUGGCUUCCGCAAUUUAGUGCGUGAAUAUGGUAGCUAUAGAAAACCUAAAAAUUUUGAUAAUGUUUGGAAGUUUGGAGAGCGAUUUGAAUACUUUUCCAGUCUAACUAGUAAUUUAAACGCGCAAAUUCUAACCGACUUUCAUCGCAAUUAUAAACACGACAAAAGAAAAUUUAUGAAGAAAGGCCUCAAUCGAAUAAUAGACGCAAUGCUCAAAGAAUUCACAGAGUCUCAGGAUCUAAAGACUGACACGAUUCGAAAAAAAUACUUAGCAAGUAAACUUGCGUGCAUUUACCGGAAGCAUAGGCGUUACUACUUAACUUUCGUAGGAGGUGGAGGUGUUGAGAGAGUUUGCGCCCGACGGGUAGUCUUAGCCAUUCCACCUCAUGCCCUGCAUCAUGUUUCCAUGCAGAGGAUGAACGGUAAAGACCCUGCAGAAACCACUCAUGUACCAUUACCGAAAAUGGAAGUUUUCCCUGCUUUUGGAGCGGCUAUUAGGUCAAAAACGGAUCUUCUCAUAAAGGAUGUUGUCGUGACAGAUUUACCCUCAAGGAGAUUUAUAAAGAUGGAAAACAAUCUUGUAACGAUAAAUGUGGAUGGUGUGGAUGCCGAUUAUUUCCGUGGACUUUACUCAAGACAUAGAAGCAGCCAGGAUAUUUUUAAAAAAAGACUCUCUAUAGACUUAUUGGACCAGCUGGAGCGCUGCAUUUAUCCUAGAAAGCUCGACUCAUCAGCUGCUGUUCUAUUUCACGAUUGGGGUUCGAAAGCUAAGUACGUCUGGAAGCGCUGCAUACAACCACAUAGGGCUAUGAAAUCAGCUCUAAAACCGCUCGCUAAAGGUCACGAAGUGUAUGUGGUCGGAAGCGAUUAUUGCGACGGUGGAUGCCAAGUAUUAAUGGAAGGAGCUUUGAGGACUUCCGAUUUCGUUCUUAAAAAGUACCUGUUACCUAGUUUGUAUAGAAAUAGCACGGAUCCAGAAUAAAAACAGGACUGAGUAGACAAUUCAAUGCUGCGGGCUGAAUUAGUUUUGUAAAAUAAAAGGUUAAUAAAAUUAGCUU
rnacentral:misc_RNA from 1 species